rnacentral:tRNA from 1 species
GCGUGUAGCUUAGUUGGUAGAGCAGAUCCCUCUUAAGGAUAAGGUCGUGGGUUCGAAUCCCACCCCGCC